UUUUUUUCUUUCUUUUCAUUUUAUUAGGUUAAUAAAACUUGUUUUCCAAGCUUUUGGUGGGGGGAUCCCAGGAGUGCAAUCAUCCUUGAUGUCAAAUUCAUCAGGUACCUAAUGAAAGGACUUUGGAGGUCUCUACUACAUCUGUACCUGAAGUUCUUGGUGUCUCAUAAAGUUAGUGACUUUGCCAACUUCCUGGAGGUUCAUGUCGGAUUCUGUAAAAGGACUGCAUUUCCUUUUGGAAUGGGGACUGGGAGAGAGAGGCAGCAGAAGCCCGGGUUCACCAGCAAAUUUAUCUGGAAUACCAGUGAUGUCACCAUGUGGACACUCUUUGGAAUGGCACAGGUGGAAACCUUUCUCUGCCACUUGGAGAUGACUUUAUAAGCAACUCUGUUCACCAAAAAAUCAUCCCCUGGAGCCCAAGCCUUCUGGUAAUGAAUGUUCCCACACUUGAUUUGACUGGACUUCCUUCUGAUGUCAUAGAAUCUACUCUGAUUGGCUCUUAACUGUCAUACCUUCAAGAACUUAGAUGGCUUCUAAGGAGUAUGCUGGAUAGAUCUCAAUGGAGUGGCUUGGGAGAGCUGAUUGUUAAAAUUCAGAGUGAAUAUUUGUAGCUGAAAAAUCAGCAAAUGUUACAAACUGAGACUUGAUUUGUUGUGUUGUUGUGUUUGGAAUUUCAAAAGUGACAGAGAAAAUGAAAACACUGCAGAUUAACUUUAAAAAUGUUUCUGCAUGAAUUAAUUUCUAGAGAGUUGGUUUGUCAACAUUUACCACUACAACAGCCCCUUAGCCAUAAUGAAAUACCUCUGCAAGAUGUAAGAGGAAGACAAGUGUUAGCUCAAACUGCAUCCACAUCCUCCUUUUCACUUUCUUCAGACCAUGAGCUUAUGUAUGAGUAGCCGUUGGCCACAUGCACCAUAACUAUAAUUAAAUGGGAAAUUAGAUGGCUUAGAUGGAAAUUUAGGGGGGGGGAAAGGAUCCUCUUGAGUCAUUAAAUGGGAAGGAGGGUUUAUCCGGAGAGAUUUUUUUUCCUCACUUAAAUUCUGGAUCUUCUAUAAUAUGAAAGGAGUUUGUAUGGCAUUGAAUCUGUCCAAAUUAAUCAGUGCUAAUGUAUUGAAAGAAAAAGAGGGAAAUGUGAAUUAAGAAGCCAUGAGUUCUAGUCUCAUACUGGCAUUGACAUAAACUAAUUAUAAGACAUAAGCAAGCCAUCUCCCUUCUCAGGACCUUAGUAUCCACCUCAAUAAAUGAGAGUUAUAUAAUCCCUACA
rnacentral:lncRNA from 1 species